rnacentral:tRNA from 1 species
GCUUCAGUGGCGAAACUGGCAGACGCGCAACGUUCAGGUCGUUGUAUUGUUAUCCAUGUACAGGUUCGAAUCCUGCCUGAGGCAUCA